rnacentral:rRNA from 1 species
GACGAACGCUGGCGGCGUGCUUAACACAUGCAAGUCGAACGGAAAGGCCUCUUUCGGGGGGUACGCGAGUGGCGAACGGGGGAGUAACACGUGAGUAACCUGCCCCCGACACUGGGAUAACUCCAGGAAACUGGGGCUAAUACAGGAUAGGAGCGCCUCCUGCAUGGUGGGGGGUGGGAAGUUUCGGCGGUUGGGGGUGGACUCGCGGCUUAUCAGAUUGUUGGUGGGGGAGUGGCUUACCAAGGCUUUGACGGGUAGCCGGCCUGUGAGGGUGACCGGCCACAUUGGGACUGAGAUUCGGCCCAGACUCCUACGGGGGGCAGCAGUGGGGAAUAUUGCACAAUGGGUGGAAGCCUGAUGCAGCAACGCCGUGUGCGGGAUGACGGCCUUCGGGUUGUAAACCGCUUUCGCUCAUGACGAAGCUUUGUGUGACGGUAGUGGGUAAAGAAGCACCGGCUAACUACGUG